UACGAAGGGGGCUAGCGUUGCUCGGAAUCACUGGGCGUAAAGCGCACGUAGGCGGAUUGCUAAGUCAGGGGUGAAAUCCUGGAGCUCAACUCCAGAACUGCCUUUGAUACUGGCGACCUUGAGUCCGGGAGAGGUGAGUGGAACUGCGAGUGUAGAGGUGAAAUUCGUGGAUAUUCGGAGGAACACCAGUGGCGAAGGCGGCUCACUGGUCCGGUACUGACGCUGAGGUGCGAAAGCGUGGGGAGCAAACAGG
rnacentral:rRNA from 1 species